rnacentral:rRNA from 1 species
CAGUAGCCGCGGUAAUACGGAGGGUGCAAGCGUUAAUCGGAAUUACUGGGCGUAAAGCGCACGCAGGCGGUCUGACAAGUCAGAUGUGAAAUCCCCGGGCUUAACCUGGGAACUGCAUUUGAAACUGUCAGGCUGGAGUCUUGUAGAGGGGGGUAGAAUUCCAGGUGUAGCGGUGAAAUGCGUAGAGAUCUGGAGGAAUACCGGUGGCGAAGGCGGCCCCCUGGACAAAGACUGACGCUCAGGUGCGAAAGCGUGGGGAGCAAACAGGAUUAGAUAUCCGAGUAGUCCCUGUCUUUAUACA